GCCUUCGUGGUGUAAUGGUAGCACACUCGGCUCGUAUUCGCGAAAUUCAAGUUCAAGUCCCGGCGAGGGAA
rnacentral:tRNA from 1 species